UAUUUCAGAAAAGAAGUUAAAAAAUAGAGAAAAAUAAAGAUUGUUUGCAACUGGGAUUUUUUUUUUUUUGGCUUUCCUCCGCGCUUGCCGGAGCGGAGCAGACGAUAUACUCCUGUUGCGCAAUGGCGGUGUAGUGAUUGUUGAUUUGUUGUCUGAGGACUUGGAUAUGAACCAUCUUCGGAAAGCAAAGCAAAGCCGUGAAGUCGUCUUUGUGCGUCCAGUCGGUCCACUGCAAUGAUCUAGUCAACUGCCGCCAGACGGUUUCGACUCGCGACUCGCCAAAUGUUGUCGGCGUCCAUCUUAACCUCCCGGCUCAGCGUGUCAGCGCCGUCCUCACGUGAUUGCUGGAAAGGAGUGGCGGCAAGGUGAUUUGGUGAGGAUGCAGGAGUGCAGAGGGGGAUUCAUCAAUCCAUCCAGCUGCUAAGGACCAUCCUGGACGCAGUGAAGCAGAUCUCCUCUCCUGCCAUUCUUCAGAACUACAACUGCAUGAGUUGUGGCUGGAGAGGAGUGGCGGCAAGGUGAUGUGGUGAGGAUCCAGAGCCGAAUCCGUCAGUCCGUCUAGCUGAUAAGGUGCUGAGCCAUCCUGGACGCAAUGAAGCAGAUCUUCUGCUGUUCGUUGGAACCACAUCUCCAUGAUCCCAGUGGAUGCAGGACAACCAACAGACUCAGCCAAGUCCCUCUUCCAACCUCACCAAAUUAGAGGACCAGCUCUGCUUUUUAUUGGCCAUGCUACCACCUAUCUCACCACUGAAGAGAGAAGCAGAGGAAAAUAAUCAAGAAAUAUAAUACUUCAGAGUUUGUGCUGCCUGAAGCUAUUGUCAAAUUAUUUUUAAGUUAGUGAUUUGUAAUUUAUUGUUUGCUCUGCUUUUGCACUCAACCUUUGCUUUGUAUUGGUAAUGGCCAAAUUUGUUUUCACCGACCUUAAAGGACUCUAUUCUAAAAUAACUUCAUUCUAUUUGCAUUUUGGAACUGAGUUUAAAUUCUAUAUUUUCUUGUACAAGCAGAACAGAUUGCAUAUUGCGGAGGGUGGCAUGAAUGAUCUUCAGCCGUUAUGCAGCACUGGUAGUCCAUUUGUUUGAGCUGUGAAUUAUUUUUGGAGAAGAAGACAUGUUAUUAGCUUUGCUUUGUAGGUGCUUGGUUUUGUUUUAAAUCAUACAACUUUUACUAGAUUGCUGAAU
rnacentral:lncRNA from 1 species